rnacentral:rRNA from 1 species
UACAGAGGGUGCGAGCGUUAAUCGGAAUUACUGGGCGUAAAGCGUGCGUAGACGGUUAUUUAAGUCGGGUGUGAAAGCCCCGGGCUCAACCUGGGAAUUGCAUUCGAGACUGAAUAGCUAGGGUACGGUAGAGGGAAGCGGAAUUUCCGGUGUAGCGGUGAAAUGCGUAGAUAUCUGGAGGAAUACCGGUGGCGAAGGCGGCAUCCUGGACCGGCAUUGACGCUGAUGAGCGAAAGCUAGGGGAGCAAACGGG